GAUGAACGCUGGCGGCGUGCCUAAUACAUGCAAGUCGAACGCAUUGAGAGAAGUGCUUGCACUUUUCAAUUUGAGUGACGAACGGGUGAGUAACACGUGGGCAACCUACCUGAUAGAGGGGGAUAACGAGGGGAAACAUUCGCUAAUACCGCAUAACAAUAGAGAAGGCAUCUUCUUUAUUUAAAAGGCGCUUUCAAGCGUCAAUAGCAGAUGGGCCCGCGGUGCAUUAGUUAGUUGGUGGGGGGAAGGCCUACCAAGACGAUGAUGCAUAGCCGAGUUGGGAGACUGAUCGGUCACAUUGUGACUGAGACACGGCCCAAACUCCUAAGGGAGGCUGCAGUAGGGAAUCUUCCACAAUGGGCGAAAGUCUGAUGGAGCAACGCCGCGUGUGUGAUGAAGGCUUUCGGGUCGUAAAACACUGUUGUAAGGGAAGAAAAGCUAGGCUAGGAAAUGACCUUAGUUUGACGGUACCAUACCAGAAAGGGACGGCUAAAUACGUGCCAGCAGCCGCAGUAA
rnacentral:rRNA from 1 species